GUCGCUACUACCGAUUGGAUGAUUUAGUGAGGACUUCGGACUGGCUGCUCGUGGGGUAAAACCUGCAAGCGGAUCGGGAAGAUGUUCAAACUGUAUCAUCUAGAGGAAGUAA
rnacentral:rRNA from 1 species